GAACCAGUAGGCAGCUCUGGGAGUGCUGGAUCAGGAGGCACUCUCCAAUUAGGCAGGCAGCCUCCACGUCUCGCCAGGAGGCCUUGGUUAUCUCUAAAUAGAGACUGAGCUAUAGCAGCUGCUGUCCUGUUUGCUGGGCGAGUGUCUAGGAUAUGUGAACCCCUUGAGCUCAUGCCAAGACUUUCAAGGGGUCCUGGGGAUUCCAAUUUAAGGGACUCACCUGCCAUUCUAGAUCCUUCGUUUUGAAAUUAACCAUCUUCUAAAUUGACCUCACAGUGAACUCUCUUGUGCUACAGGCAUCUCCUUCCAUGCAGCCCUUAUCCCUCUACACGGAGAUUUGGAGUGGGUGCCAAGUUACCCUUCUUCAGUCAAGAGGAAGAGGAGUAUUUCUGAAGCCCCAAACAGAGGGUCUUGAUGUGUAAUUCACCCAAUCCACAGUGUUGUGGAUGCCUCAGCCCAGCUGGGGAACAUGGAAGUGAAGCAUCAAGAUAAGGCGAGACCUGUAACACCUGUACCACCGGAAGAAAAAAAGCAAAUGGACUCCAGCCGAGCAGGGGCAACCCUAUGGGAGCCUAUGGGAGCCAAAGGCCAGAACAAUCGCAGCCCUUUUUCGUCACUGUUGACUUUAGACUGCAGAGUUCUUUCAGGGAAGUGUGCUUCGCUGCUGCCAUUGGUCAGAUUUGCCGGCACAUGGUGACAGUAAAAGGCGGGACCCCGUGUCACCUGUCCCCUGUUGGGAACACCAAGUGUAGAAGCUUCAAGUCUGGUGCCUGCUCUGCCUCACUCCAGCCGUGAGGAUGAGGCCUGACUGGGUCUACUUACUACCAAAACUUCCUGCACAACCAGCUGUGGUGACCCACAGCUCUAGUCUCAGCACUUGGGAGACUGAGGCAUGAGGAUUGCAGCUCUGAAGCCAGCCUGGGCUACACAGAAGACCCAGCCGCGUCCCUCCCCCUGAAGAAAACUUCCUGCCCAGAAGAUGAUUCCAGUCCAUCUGCCCCCUCUCGACCUUUGCUUCUCCUCCUUUCCACCCAGAGGUCGAGGUUCUCCUCCCACAGACCCGCCCUCCGCCACUGCUGGCCCCACUCCUGGCCACUCCUGGCAGCUCCCUCUUGUCCUGUGUUGUGCUGUGAAGCAGCCUAGUUGACUCCCUCCCAACCUGGCUGGCCGCCCUUUUCCCUGACCUCUCUCUCUCUCUCUCUCUCUCUCUCUCUCUCUCUCUCUCUCUCUCUCUUCUCUCUCUCUCUCCCACUCCACCCCCUGUUUCUUUCCCUUUCUUCUCAGCUCCAUGGAAAUUUUCAUAUCAUCCUCAAGUUUGUCUGCCAAACCAGAAUCCUGAAUCCUCAUCCAGGGGGAGUCAUUACAAGGUCUGAAAAACUACAAAGUCACCACACAGUGCCUGGAACAAAUGGGUUGCUUGCCACCUGCAGGACAUUUACUGAGUGCUUCCUGUACACCAAGCACUGCUUGGUCCUUGGUACUCCCCUCCCCACUUCCACUGGGGUGGGGUCCAUGGGGACACAAACCCGUCCCUUUCUAGAGGUUUUGUUCUAGGUGACUAAGAGGUAGAGGGAUGGCUGGGAUAGACUGGCAGGUGCCCUUGGCUCCUUCCCCAGCAGAUUGCCAGACCAGCUACUCAAAGGAGCCCGCCACCAUAGUAGAGAAGACCAACAGUUAAACAGGCAGCCAGAGGGCCAGUUUUACAAUCGAAUAGUUAAUGAAAUCUGUAUGUGUCUGUUGAGCUUAUUAAUGCAUACUCAUUUUUUGAGCAUCUACCAUGUGCAAGUCACAGAUACAUCCCUAAGUACAAACUGCCACCUUUCCCUCUUAUGUAUCCUGUGCCUACACUCCAGAAAUAUGUGCUGUCUCAUAUACGCUAUUAUGGUUUGUGUUUAAACAUCCACCAAAACCUCAUGCAGUCAUGGGGAGCAGGCCUUUCCAUGACUGAGUGUAGCAUUUGUGAUUGGUUCCUUGCCUAGCCCUGGGAUUGGCGGGGUGAGUCCUGCGCCCACCCAGAGGCAAGCAAUCAACGUACAAUAAGAGGGAAAAGGAGGCCUGCUUUUCCUCUGUUUUGCCCUUUUCAUUCUUGUUGCUUGUGGACGCCAUGAACGACUGCCCCUUAGUCACGUCACCCUGCCUUGGAGCCAGCUGGGUAUGGACUGAGACCUCUAAAAACUGUAAGCUAAGUAAA